rnacentral:lncRNA from 1 species
GCAAAAUGCUACCUCAAAAAUUGUGAAGGACCAGGCUGGAUACAGAGAAUCACAAGUUACUAGAACAGACGCCCAUCAGCAGAAAACUGGCUGACUACCAAGAAGAACCGUAAGUCAUACUGAUGGGAAAAAACAGUUUGAGGAAACUGAAC